rnacentral:rRNA from 1 species
UACGGAGGAUCCAAGCGUUAUCCGGAUUUAUUGGGUUUAAAGGGUGCGUAGGCAGCCUAUUAAGUCAGGGGUGAAAGACGGUAGCUUAACUAUCGCAGUGCCUUUGAUACUGAUGGGCUUGAAUGUACUUGAGGUAGGCGGAAUGUGACAAGUAGCGGUGAAAUGCAUAGAUAUGUCACAGAACACCAAUUGCGAAGGCAGCUUACUAAAGUAUGAUUGACGCUGAGGCACGAAAGCGUGGGGAUCAAACAGG